AGGUACGUGGGCGGGCGGAUCGUGGUGGCUGCGCUUGCGAGGACCCUGAGGUAGAUUGGGUGGUUUCAACAGGAACGCAUCCACUGUCUGAGAGUUUAAACUUGAUUUUGUGAGGGGACGAACAGCGUGACAAUUAAAAGAAGAUCUGGGAAUCAAAAGCUUCCUGAGGCCUUCACCAGAAGCAGAUGCUGGUGCCGUGCUUCUACAGCCUGCAGAACUGAAGGACUUUACAGCUUCUCUUUCGCAUAUCCAAAUUGCCAGCAUCACCGCUCUUGCACUCCAAGCCAUUAUUAAGUAAAGUAAAGAACACAAACACUGUGAUACUGCUACACUUGAUCUGAUAACCAAGAAGUCUACUAAGUGACUAACAGAAGAGAAGACAUGGAGAAGAGGAGGGAGUAGUUGUGACCGUGGAGGCAGAGAAUGGAGUAAUGUGAUCAUAAAUCAAGGAAUGCUGACAGCCACUAAAGCUGGAGAAGGCCAAGGACAGAUAUUCAAUCCUCCCGUAGAAGUACAGCCCUGCUAAUGCAUUGAUUUUGGACUUCUGGCCUCAGAACUGUAAGAGAAUAAAUUUCUAUUGUUUUAAGCCUUCA
rnacentral:lncRNA from 1 species